rnacentral:rRNA from 1 species
AGCGAACGCUGGCGGCAGGCCUAACACAUGCAAGUCGAACGGAUCCUUCGGGAUUAGUGGCGGACGGGUGAGUAACACGUGGGAACGUGCCCUUUGGUUCGGAACAACUCAGGGAAACUUGAGCUAAUACCGGAUGUGCCCUUCGGGGGAAAGAUUUAUCGCCAUUGGAGCGGCCCGCGUCUGAUUAGCUAGUUGGUGAGGUAAAGGCUCACCAAGGCGACGAUCAGUAGCUGGUCUGAGAGGAAGAUCAGCCACAUUGGGACUGAGACACGGCCCAAACUCCUACGGGAGGCAGCAGUGGGGAAUCUUGCGCAAUGGGCGAAAGCCUGACGCAGCCAUGCCGCGUGAAUGAUGAAGGUCUUAGGAUUGUAAAAUUCUUUCACGGGGACGAUAAUGACGGUACCCGGAGAAGAAGCCCCGGCUAACUUCGUGCCAGCCGCCGCAGUAAUAC